AUUGAACGCUGGCGGCAGGCCUAACACAUGCAAGUCGAACGGUAACAGGAAGAAGCUUGCUUCUUUGCUGACGAGUGGCGGACGGGUGGGUAAUGUCUGGGAAACUGCCUGAUGGAGGGGGAUAACUACUGGAAACGGUAGCUAAUACCGCAUAACGUCGCAAGACCAAAGAGGGGGACCCUCGGGCCUCUUGCCAUCGGAUGUGCCCAGAUGGGAUUAGCUUGUUGGUGGGGUAACGGCUCACCAAGGCGACGAUCCCUAGCUGGUCUGAGAGGAUGACCAGCCACACUGGAACUGAGACACGGUCCAGACUCCUACGGGAGGCAGCAGUGGGGAAUAUUGCACAAUGGGCGCAAGCCUGAUGCAGCCAUGCCGCGUGUAUGAAGAAGGCCUUCGGGUUGUAAAGUACUUUCAGCGGGGAGGAAGGGAGUAAAGUUAAUACCUUUGCUCAUUGACGUUACCCGCAGAAGAAGCACCGGCUAACUCCGUGCCAGCCGCCGCUGUAA
rnacentral:rRNA from 1 species